GCAGAGUCUUAUUCUGUACAGUUCACCUCAUCUCAUCAUGCUGCCUCUCCUUCCUUCAGGAACAGAAAUGAAGAUCUUGCCUCCCUGGUCUGAGUCUUGGAGUAGAGCUUGGAACCCACAAGUAGAUCGUUUUUGUUGACUGGUGUGUGACCUGUUGGGAGUCACAUUUUGGCCCUCCAACAUCUGCUCUUUAGAACAAAACUGUUUGAGGGGGGAUGGGCAUUAUGAAGCUAACAUGAAGCUCUCAUAGCAGGGGUAUGAGCCCUGCAUGGCUGUCUAUGUGGAGCUAUAAACACAUAGGAGCAUGGUCAUGAUAGCACAUAGGAGCCUCCACUUUGGCAAGACUGAGAUGAGGGCCUCUGUGGAAUCUACACUGCUGUACUGUGAUCGUCCACUUCUGGCAUGCUCCAGCACUGGGAAGUUGGUACCUGUGAUACAACAGAGGAGGAAAACACUCCCUGCCCCACCUCAUGAACUGGGGCAUCCAUCUUCACUUGGCUGGUUGGAGAAUGGGACAUAACAGUACACACAAAUUAAGGUGAUAAGUCUCCACACAGACUCAACUCCCCCAAUAAAAAGAUAAGCAAGCAGGAUCCAGCAUAUUGCUGAAUACAAGAAACACACCUCAACAACAAAGACA
rnacentral:lncRNA from 1 species